rnacentral:snoRNA from 18 species
CGCAAUGAUUACUACAUCACAGCGAUAUAGAAUGAAGCGUUCAUAGUUACUCUGAGCGG